rnacentral:rRNA from 1 species
UACGUAGGGUGCAGGCGUUAAUCGGAAUUACUGGGCGUAAAGCGUGCGCAGGCGGUUUGCUAAGAGAGACGUGAAAUCCCCCGGCUUAACCUGGGAACUGCGUCUGAUACUGGACGGCUUGAGUAUGGGAGAGGGAUGUAGAAUUCCAGGUGUAGCGGUGAAAUGCGUAGAUAUCUGGAGGAAUACCGGUGGCGAAGGCGGCAUCCUGGACCAUUACUGACGCUGAGGCGCGAAAGCUAGGGGAGCAAACGGG